rnacentral:rRNA from 1 species
CCUACGGGUGGCUGCAGUGGGGAAUAUUGGACAAUGGGCGAAAGCCUGAUCCAGCCAUGCCGCGUGUGUGAAGAAGGCCUUCGGGUUGUAAAGCACUUUCAGUGGGGAAGAAAGCCUUGGGGCUAAUACCCUCGAGGAAGGACAUCACCCACAGAAGAAGCACCGGCUAACUCCGUGCCAGCAGCCGCGGUAAUACGGAGGGUGCGAGCGUUAAUCGGAAUUACUGGGCGUAAAGCGCGCGUAGGCGGUCUGAUAAGCCGGUUGUGAAAGCCCCGGGCUCAACCUGGGAACGGCAUCCGGAACUGUCAGGCUAGAGGGCAGGAGAGGAAGGUAGAAUUCCCGGUGGAGCGGUGAAAUGCGUAGAGAUCGGGAGGAAUACCAGUGGCGAAGGCGGCCUUCUGGACUGACACUGACGCUGAGGUGCGAAAGCGUGGGUAGCAAACAGGAUUAGAUACCCUGGUAGUC